CAUUUCCUUUAUUCUUUUUGUUUUUGUUGCCUGUGUGUUGUUGUUGUGGGUUGUUUGGCUUGCCCCAUCCAACCAGCAAUAACAACAACAUCAGCAACAACAACAAAAGAGGACAAAAAGGAAAAAAGAGCGGGACGCAAAAAAGCGCCUCAAAAAAAAAAAAAAAAAAAA
rnacentral:ribozyme from 1 species